rnacentral:rRNA from 1 species
UACGUAGGGGGCGAGCGUUGUCCGGAUUUAUUGGGCGUAAAGAGCUCGUAGGCGGUUUGGUAAGUCGGGUGUGAAAUCUCCACGCUCAACGUGGAGGGGCCACUCGAUACUGCCAUGACUCGAGUCCGGUAGAGGAGUGUGGAAUUCCCGGUGUAGCGGUGAAAUGCGCAGAUAUCGGGAGGAACACCUGCGGUGUAGACGGCUUACUGGACCAUAACUGACGCUGAGGCACGAAAGCGUGGGUAGCAAACAGG